AUCGAGCUACCAGUUUCCGCGAGCCGGAGAGAAAAACGCCCUCAUAACUUGAAACACCGGGUCCUACAGCUUCCAAGAAGCCCUCACAUCAACACCUACACAAAGAAUCAAACGUCUCGCAUCCGCAAGCCCAUCCAAUAUCACACCUCCGGCAGCAAGAGAAGGAGUCCACAACCGGCGAUGCCGUCGUUCGGGAUAAGAGUCCGGAGAUUGCUGCCUCCAUCCUCUCAGACCCGAGACCGUAUACACCCUUUUAACCCACCACCCAUAUAGAGCAAUGAGACAGGUCGGGCACACCUCCUCCGGGGUUGUAACCAUCGAACUAGCAAGAAGAAAAUCGAGAGCAAAGCUAACACCUUUCCACUCUCCACGGACCCAACCCGCUUUCAUAGAAGCGCAACCGCUAGAAGGUGAUGAAAGGAUAGAGAACCGGUGACAAGGAGCGCCACACCAUUGAACCAACUCCAACUUCGGGGAGACGCAAGAACCACACACGCCGAGAGGAUCUCGACAAACG
rnacentral:lncRNA from 1 species